AUGUCGGGAAGUCAUGUCUAACAAAGCAUAGAAACAAACCAAUAACUAAUUUCUUUUAUCUUUGUUAACAUUAAAUCACCACGAUUAUGAUGCAUUUACGAGUUAGAGAUGACAUUUCACAUACUUAUCCAUCAAAAUGGUGCUAAUAUUAUUUUAAAUUACUAGUUAUAGGCAUCAUAUAAGUGGUCAGAACUGUGUAGAAGUGGGAAAUUUUGGUAUCUGGAUGUUCCAGUCUGCUUUGCUGUAUGUUUUCAAAGGCACGCAGGUACUGGAAUAUGCUACACACAGUGGCACAGAUAUCAAUCUCAUGCAUAGGGAUGCUGUAUUUAAAUCAAUUUUUUAGUUAUUAAGGUCACAGGUGCUAAAAAAUCACUCAUUUAUACAUUGUUGGGAAGCAGGACUUAUAAUCUACAGGCUUAAAUAGACAACUUUAAAACUGAAAAGUAUCAUGUGAUGAGUGGGAAUGCAAUAAUCAAUCUUAACGUUAUGCGAAUAUUUUAUGAACCAAAUAUUGUUCAAGUUAUAUUACAUUUUAAACAUCAUGUCAACCCCUUGAUGCAUAUCAAAUACUAGCCAAGGUAACUUGAGACAGGAGAGGGGCCCAUGAAACCUGUUUUCAACAUCAUGUCAACCCCUUGAUACAUAUCAAAUACUAGCCAAGGUAACUUGAGACAGGAGAGGGGCCCACGAAACCUGUAGAUUCAAUUGGCUAGUUGGAAUGUACCUCUUCCAUUACACAGUAUACGCUCAUGCAAAGAGGGAGCAACUAAACCUAAGCAAAUCUGGCCCAACCUGAUUUUGGUCAAGCUCACGUUGGGGUUUUCAGCUUGUCAGGCUAGGCAUGGCCUCAAUUUCUCAAGCCCAACAAAAUUCGG
rnacentral:lncRNA from 1 species